rnacentral:rRNA from 1 species
GAAGGAAUAUUGGGCAAUGGGCGCAAGCCUGACCCAGCGACACUGUGUGGAGGAAGAAGGUCUUCGGAUUGUGAACUCCUGUCAUGCGUUAAGAAGGCCAUGUGGAAUAAUAAGCCACGUGGAUUGACAAAAGCGCAGAAGGAAGUCAUGGCUAACUCUGUGCCAGCAGCCGCGGUAAUACAGAGAUGGCAACCGUUGUUCGGAAUUAUUGGGCUUAAAGCGCACGUAGGCGGAUGGAUAAGUUAGUUGUAAAAGACCAUGGCCCCCUCAUGGAAAGCCAGCUAAAACUGUCUAUCUAGAGAGCGAGAGGGGAAAGUGGAACUCCUAGUGGAGCGGUGAAAUGCGUUGAUAUUAGGAGGAACGCCGGAGGCGAAAGCGACUUCCUGGAUCGUGUCUGACGCCCAGGUGCGAAGGCUAGGGUAGCAAACGGGAUUAGAUACCCCGGUAGUCCUGGCCGUAAACGAUGGGCACUAGAUGGUGGUACAGACGUAUCACCGUUUGAGCGAAAGCGUUAAGUGCCCCGCCUGGGGAGUAUGGUCGCAAGGCUG